rnacentral:tRNA from 1 species
UCCCUGGUGAUCCAGCAGUUAAGACUCUGCACUUCCACUGCAGGGUGUGUGGGUUCGAUCCCUGUUUGGGGAA